rnacentral:rRNA from 1 species
GGCCCCGCACAAGCGGUGGAGCAUGUGGUUUAAUUCGAUGCAACGCGAAAAAAUCCUUACCUACUCUUGACAUACUUGGGAGCUCUUGUAAUGAGAGUGUGCCUUUUGGGAACCAAGAUACAGGUGCUGCAUGGCUGUCGUCAGCUCGUGUCGUGAGAUGUUCCGUUAAGUCGGAUAACGAGCGCAACCCUUACCCUUAUUUGCCAGCGAUUCGGUCGGGAACUAUAAGGGGACUGCCGGUGAUAAACCGGAGGAAGGUGAGGACGACGUCAAGUCAUCAUGGCCCUUACGAGUAGGGCUACACACGUGCUACAAUGGGGAAUACAGACGGACGCUAAGCCGCGAGGUGGUGCU